UACGUAGGUGGCAAGCGUUAUCCGGAAUUACUGGGCGUAAAGCGCACGCAGGUGGUCAUUUAAGUCUGAUGUGAAAGCUCUUGGCUUAACUGGGAGAGGUCGUUGGAAACUGGAUGACUUGAGGUGAUGAGAGGGGUGUGGAAUUCCCGGUGUAGUGGUGGAAUGCGUAGAGAUCGGGAGGAACACCAGUGGCGAAAGCGGCACCCUGGCAUUGACCUGACGCUCAGGUGCGAAAGCGUGGGGAGCGAACGGGAUUAGAUACCCCGGUAGUCCACGCUGUAAACGAUGAAUACUAGGUGUGGGCUGUGUUAAAGCAGUCUGUGCCGAAGCCAACGCGAUAAGUAUUCCGCCUGGGGACUACGACCGCAAGGUUAAA
rnacentral:rRNA from 1 species